AAUGCUUUGCUGCAGCUGGUCAAAUGGAACCAGAUCUCCUUCUGUCUGGAUUUGGUCCCCUUCAACCAGUUGCAGCAUUGACGUCCU
rnacentral:pre_miRNA from 13 species